rnacentral:lncRNA from 1 species
CUUCGGAAGCGCGGAGAUUUAGGUUUCCGGUUGGAACCGGAAGUAGUGGUUACUAAGACGACGCCAAGCCGCAAGUCGGUGAGAGCAAAGCUGCGUCUCAGAAGUCGGGCUGUGGCCGCCUCCUCCCGCCUCGGGUCCACGUGGAGGCACUGAGUGGGUCAGUCCCCUCCCUGACUCAGGCGUCCCGGUGUGCUCAGCUUUGAGUUCGCAGAAGUUCUCAGUGCCACCUGCUGUGAUGUCAUCCUCCAAAGGAAGUCGGAAGCAAAGGCCGUCUGUGUUUGCCAAGGGACCACUGGAGAUUCCAUCUCCAACAGAGGCAGACUUGCCUAAGGAUGAUGAGAAGGAUUUUGACUUCUGGGACAUGUAUCAAGAACUGGACACUCUGCCUUUGCCUUACCGAAUGAUCAACAAGCUGGUGAACCUCCUGUUUGACUACUCAUGGGAAGUUAUUGAGGAGAGAGAAGCUUUACGGGAAAUUGAGAAAAACCGCAUCCUGCCUACCACCUACCCUCCAGGUGCAGAAAUCCAGCUCAACAAAAUGCCUGGUGGUAUGGCUGUUUCACAAGACUAUCUGUUUAUUGGAGGAGUCAAAGGAUUCUCAAUCUAUAAUCUGCACAAUUUCAAAAGAAUGUAUGUUUGGGAGAAGUUAAAGGUUGAUGUUAUUUCCAUCUGGGCCAUGGAUUUGGGGAAUGAAGUACUUAUCAUUCCUGUGGAUGAACUAGGUAUUGUUAGAUUGUUUUACUUGUAUAAAGACAGUCUUUUUCUCCUUAAAGCCAUCAAUGAAAUGGAUGAUAUCAGCAAGCAAAGCACCUGUGUGAAGAUGGAACUCUCUCCAAGCGGGGACUACGCAGCGUUUCUCCUCCAAGGAGCUGGGGACAUUUGGCUGGAAGUAUAUAAAUUGCCCAAGGAGACUUGGCUAAAGGAAGUGGAGCACCCACAGUUUACUCUGAAUCCAAAGAAAAAAACCAAACAGCUGCAACUGAGCACUCCCGACUCUGCUCUUACAGAAAGUGUAGAAACGAACUUACGACCAAGUCUAAGCCCUUAUGCAAUCCAGGUAACCACCCUCUCACUGAGCUAG